rnacentral:rRNA from 1 species
UACGAAGGGGGCUAGCGUUGCUCGGAAUUACUGGGCGUAAAGCGCACGUAGGCGGAUUGUUAAGUUGGGGGUGAAAUCCUGGAGCUCAACUCCAGAACUGCCUUCGAUACUGGCGAUCUCGAGUUCGGGAGAGGUGAGUGGAACUGCGAGUGUAGAGGUGAAAUUCGUAGAUAUUCGCAAGAACACCAGUGGCGAAGGCGGCUCACUGGCCCGAUACUGACGCUGAGGUGCGAAAGCGUGGGGAGCAAACAGG